UACGUAGGGCGCAAGCGUUGUCCGGAAUCAUUGGGCGUAAAGAGCGUGUAGGCGGCCAGAUAAGUCCGCUGUGAAAACUCGAGGCUCAACUUCGAGCUGUCGGCGGAAACUAUCUGGCUAGAGUCCGGAAGAGGAGAGUGGAAUUCCUGGUGUAGCGGUGAAAUGCGCAGAUAUCAGGAAGAACACCCGUGGCGAAGGCGGCUCUCUGGGACGGUACUGACGCUGAGACGCGAAAGCGUGGGGAGCGAACAGG
rnacentral:rRNA from 1 species